AGGUAGCAUAAUCAUUUGUUAUCUAAAUGAUAACUAGUAUGAAUGGUCUGACGAGAAAAUAACUUUCUAAAAAGAAGAGAUAAAAAUUUAUUUUAAAGUAAAAAAGCUUUAUAGCCUUAGAAAGACGAGAAGACCCUAGAACCUGUUCUAUUCAUAUAGUUUGUUGGGGUGACAUUAUUCAAAACAAAUAACUAUUAAAACUUAUUAAUUGACUCUAUCUAUCUUUAUUAAAAAAAAAAAAGGUACUCUAGGGAUAACAGCAUAAUCUUCUUCUAGAGCCCUAAUCGACAAGAAAGAUUUUGACCUCGAUGUUGAAUUGAUAUUUCUUUCUAAAGCAGAAU
rnacentral:rRNA from 1 species